AACAAAAAAUUCUGUGAAAGGGUUGGAUCCGACGCCUCUAGAAGGCUACUAUAGGCUCUCCUUCUCAACUCCUACUCAAUACGUCCACGGCGUGCAGAACGGU
rnacentral:ribozyme from 1 species